GAUAUGCAAAAUAUGAUUAUGUGAAAGACUUCCACAGAGAUUGGUUCAAACACUGCCUUCAUUUUUUUUAGUCAAAGUGGAUAUUCUUUUACUUAACUUGCAUGCUAAUUGUUAUGGUGAACAGUAUAAAGAAUUGCUACAAGUUUAUCUGUUUAACUUAGUACUAUAAUUUUAUUUUUUGAAAACAAGAUUAGUAAACCAAUGUCUUUGAAAAGUCUCCAUAACAGUCAGUUGUCAAAAUACAGGUUUCAGGUUAGCAUAGAAAAUCAGAACAUUUAGAAGUAUUUUUUAUAGUUUUGAAUUUAGCACAGUCUUCUGAUUGGCUGAUUUUUUUGUUUUCAGGUGAUAAACAUAAUUUUGUCAUGUGACUGUGACAUUAACAAUUUUUUCAUGAAUGAUUCACUCAUUAAAAAUGAAAUCUUUUCAUUUGUCAUUUUUUAACAAGAGAACAAGAAUUUUAUUGCUUAUAUUUGAUGGCUAAUAAUUUUAAAAUCUAAUAUAGGAUAGAAAAAGGAAAAAUUGACAAGAAAUCUCAAAAUAAUUCUGAAGCUGAUUUUAAUUUAAAUUUGAAGUGAAAAUUUGUGUAGAAUGAGGGGGUGGAUAUACAACUAAUAUUUUUCAUAAUUUUGUAUACAUUAGGUAAAUGUGUAAAGAUAUAGAAGUUUGGUAUUCACUUUAUUGUUGAAGUGGUUGUGUAGUAAAUUGUUCUAUGAAAUAUUAGUACAAAGUAAAGAAUGAAAGUAAAA
rnacentral:lncRNA from 1 species